rnacentral:misc_RNA from 1 species
GGGUAUAGUUUGCCAGUAACCUUCGUUAACAACCUGCUUGGUCUUGUAGAAAGGGAGAAUGUUGAAUCUUGAUGAGAGGGAAAAUGGGGAAUAAAUAUCGCGUCACAAAAGGUUCAACAUGAGGUUUCGUCUCUGUAUUUCUAAGGGGGGACACAAGGUAAAUUGGAGAGUGAAGCAGCCAUCGAGAAACGUAAUUUUGUUGAAUGCUUCGUGCAAAUCAUCAAUUGAACCUUCAGAGUGGCAUUUCUUUGCAUCGGUGGCCGCUUGAACCACGUUGAUGUACAAAGCAUUAAUGGGUACUCACUAUGCCG